CAUACAUAUUUUUUCUCUCUCUCUCUAGCACCGGCAUCUCCCCUAGCUACACGGUAAAAAUUCAUGAGAGGGCUGUGACCCCAACUGGAUGCAUGCGUAGCAAUGGUGAAGAUUAAUUCACUACCACAAACCGAUACAUUCCUGUCGGACAAGUUCUAUUCCUGUUCAGCCGGCCGACAUGAAUAGAAGUAUAUUUCUAUCGGUUGGCUAGAACCACCUUGGAGAAAAAAAAAAUCAUGAGAGGCUGAGAUCAUACUACGCCAUUUGCACCGCGCUGCAUCAAUUAAUGACUUGAAAAUUGACGGGCC
rnacentral:lncRNA from 1 species